UCCCAUCUUACCCCACUCAAAUAUAUAGUAGGGUGGGGGAAGAUGGGACAC
rnacentral:miRNA from 1 species